rnacentral:rRNA from 1 species
AUACGGAGGAUGCAAGCGUUAUCCGGAUUUAUUGGGUUUAAAGGGUGCGUAGGCUGUGGGGAAAGUCAGGGGUGAAAGCCCGGCGCUUAACGCCGGAACUGCCUUUGAUACUUCUCCGCUGGAAUACGGAUGCCGUGGGAGGAAUGAGUAGUGUAGCGGGGAAAUGCAUAGAUAUUACUCAGAACACCGAUUGCGAAGGCAUCUCACGAAUCCGUCAUUGACGCUGAGGCACGAAAGCGUGGGGAUCAAACAGGAUUAGAUACCCUGGUAUUCCACGCCGUAAACGAUGAUGACUAACCGUCGGCGAUAGACAGCCGGUGGCCAAGCGAAAGCGAUAAGUCAUCCACCUGGGGAGUACGUCGGCAACGAUGAAACUCAAAGGAAUUGACGGGG